rnacentral:lncRNA from 1 species
GGCGCAUUGUUCUGCCGCCGUCGGUGUCUCUCGCAGUUUUGAACAGCCAAGACUCCACGACUGCAGCCGUUUCAUUGCCAGCUGUGAGGAUGAAGCAGCUUCAUAGCCGGACAUCAGACGCCUUCCAGCAAUUCCCCUUUUCAGCAACAGAGGCCUGGGAUGCCAUUCUACCUGUGCUUCAUUGUGUGGCAGACCACUCCAA